rnacentral:tRNA from 1 species
GGUUCCAUAGUGUAGCAGUUAGCACGUCUGCUUUACACACAGAAAGUCUUGGGUUCAUGCCCCAGUGGAGUCA